UACGGAGGGUGCAAGCGUUAUCCGGAUUCACUGGGUUUAAAGGGUGCGUAGGUGGGUCUGUAAGUCAGUGGUGAAAUCUCCAAGCUUAACUUGGAACUGCCGUUGAUACUAUAGACCUUGAAUGCUGUGGAGGUGAGCGGAAUAUGUCAUGUAGCGGUGAAAUGACUUAGAUAUGAACAUAGAACACCAAUUGCGAAGGCAGCUCACUACCCAGAUAUUGACACUGAGGCACGAAAGCGUGGGGAUCAAACAGG
rnacentral:rRNA from 1 species